GGAAGAAACCAAGCCAAGGAGCUUCCAGCCCUGGGGUCUGGGGAAAUUUAGAAGCCAAGAGCUUGGCAGCGCUUCCUUGGAUUUUUAACCCCAAGCCUCCCAAAGGAUGUCAAAGUCCCAGGUGAUGACUGACUCCCUCUCCAGAAUCUCCACUGCGACCUACGUGGGGACAGGUGACAGGUUUCUCCUGAGCCCUCAUCCUCUACAAAUCACUGGCACAAGAACCCUCGUCUCAGACUCCACUUCGGGGUCCCUGACUUACGACGACACCCAGCCCAGCAGGCCCGCCCAGGCCAGGACCCCGGCACCUCAUGAGGGGCCCCGCGGAGCACGCUGGCU